AUGGAAGGCUUUGAGACAGAGAUAGCUUACAAUGCCUUUGUUUCUCCUUUCCUUGAAGGCAUCAUCUCAAGCUUACCUGCAAAUCAGCUGGCUGUUGGGUUGGUGGACGGGAGUAAGGACAAGAACAUUUCCCCUGGAGAUUGUGUUCUUAAAAUUCACCUGGACUCAUUAAAAGAGGGAUAUAACAUAUGGAAGUACCUUGAGUGCUGGAAGAAAAGGGUUCAUAUCUCUUCCAUUCUAUGUUUCUGUGUAAACUGUACUACAGAAGAGAUAAUUACCCUGAAUGAUGGUGAACAGUGCAACGUGCCUCUGCAUUAUACAUUAACCAGAGCUCCUCAAAGAUGGGAGUGCCUGCUCAACCAUAAAGAUUAAUGAUUUGCCAUCAUCAUGUGAUGUUUACAAUUGCGACAACCAUCCUGGGGCCAUAAGGUUGGUCAUCCUAAGAAGAUACGCCAGCUUGCUGAGGAAGGCACAGUGGAGAGGUUGAAAGAACUUAAUUCCCUGAUGAUAUUGUCAAGCUGCUGGAUUUACUAAGCUAGUACUGUCCUAACUCUGAAUUUUCCUUUAUGAGAGAUAAUUUAUUAUUUGUAUUUAAAUUAUCUUGUAUUUGGCCUUUUGUUACCACUGCCUGAAAUGUUCUAACC
rnacentral:lncRNA from 9 species